rnacentral:snRNA from 1 species
GUGCUCACUUCGGCAGCACAUAUACUAAAAUUGGAAUGUUACAGAGAUUAGGCAUAGCCCCUGCACAAGGAUGGCACACAAAAUCAUGAAGUAUUCCAUAUUCAA